rnacentral:rRNA from 1 species
UACGUAGGGGGCAAGCGUUAUCCGGAUUUACUGGGUGUAAAGGGAGCGUAGACGGCGUGCCAAGUCUGAUGUGAAAGGCCGGGGCUCAACCCCGGGACUGCAUUGGAAACUGGCAUGCUAGAGUGCCGGAGGGGCAAGCGGAAUUCCUAGUGUAGCGGUGAAAUGCGUAGAUAUUAGGAGGAACACCGGUGGCGAAGGCAGCAUACCGGCGCCCGACUGACGCUGAGGCACGAAAGCGUGGGGAUCGAACAGG